AAAAAAAACCAAGAAACAACAACAACAACAAACCCCAACAACAAACCUUAAGAAUACACUGGUGAAGUAGUUCAGUGGGUAAAGGUACCCAUUGUCAAGCCUGACUACCUGAGUUCUGAAUUCAGUCCCACAUGUUGGAAGAAGAGAACUGGCUCCCCCAAAUUGUCUUCUGACCUUUGCAUGCAUGCUGUGGCAUGCACAUGCGCGCACACACGCACACGCACAUUCUAAAUGAGUUAAAAAGUCAAAUCACAAUUCUGUUUUUACAGCUAGCAAAAUGUAAAAUGACCAGUAAUUUCUUGAUAGAUCUCAGAAUUCCUUUGGUUGUUAAUGUUCCCAGCAGGCUCCUAACAUUUUUGUAUCUUUGUGAUAUUUAGAGUAGUCUCUUCCACACUGUGUUCUCUCAUGCCACUGACUUGGCCAGUAGCUCAGCAGGGUCCUGUAGAGUGGGACUGUGUCUGUACUAAUUUUCAUAAAACAGAUGCAUUUAUGAGGCACAUGGCAUUCUCUCCUCUCUAUAAUAGGUUUUCAUUUUGAAGUUUGGCUAAAACGCAGGAGCAAAUAAGUAGAUCUCAGAGUCGAGCUGAGUUAUAUAGGUUUCAAGAUGUGGAUACACAUGAUGCCUAGUCUUCUUUCACUUGUUUUGUAUGUGUAGUGAUGAGAAUUAAACCUGGGGCUUGCCCAUGUUCUGCUAUACUACCUACCAUACCUCUCUGCGGUCUGCAUGCCUGCGUGUGUGUGCACGUGCCUGUGUGCAUGCGUGCUGGGAAUGGGGUUCACACUCUUGUACACAUUAAUGAGACCCUGUGUCAAAAACAAGGUGGAUACUUAUUGGGUUGUGUUGCUCAAGGUUUACCUCUGGCCUCUACAUUUUCAUCUAACUCUUGGCUGAAGUCGUUUGGAUUAAAUAGGUCAAAGAGCAAAUUCUUUGCCUACCUGCCUUGUCAGAACUCAUUCCAGUCAUAGAUUUUUGUUUGAGGCAGGGUCUCAGUCUUAGCCCAGGUUGGUCUCAAACUACUGAUUCUCCUGUCUCAGCUUUUCUGGUGGUGGGAAUUACAGUCUGUGCUACCAUAACUAUAUAGAUUUUGUUUUUGUUUCUUCACCUUCAAGGUUGUUUAUAAUGGGAAGGGGUGCUUGCUUUCUUCCUGCCCAGUGACUUAUCCUUUUCAGAUUUGGUUAUAAUGGCCAGUUCAAUUGCUUGAAUUCUUGUUAGGCUCAUCCUUCAUGUGUAGUUACAUUUCCUGUAGAUAUAGAAAAGCUGUUCAGCCCAGGGCAUUAGUUCUGAUGGCCAGUGCACAUAGAGUUUGGGUUGUCAGAUGAGUUCUGUGUUCCAGACCUGUACUGGCAACACAGCUGGCUUCCCUUUUCCCACUGGGUGGGAUCUGUAGCAGAUAGGAGGAGAGUAGAAGGAAGAGAAGAAGAAGAAGAAGAAGAAGAAGAAGAAGAAGAAGAAGAAG
rnacentral:lncRNA from 1 species